rnacentral:rRNA from 1 species
AGUGAACGCUGGCGGUAGGCCUAACACAUGCAAGUCGAACGGCAGCACAGUAAGAGCUUGCUCUUACGGGUGGCGAGUGGCGGACGGGUGAGGAAUACAUCGGAAUCUACUUUUUCGUGGGGGAUAACGUAGGGAAACUUACGCUAAUACCGCAUACGACCUACGGGUGAAAGCAGGGGAUCUUCGGACCUUGCGCGAUUGAAUGAGCCGAUGUCGGAUUAGCUAGUUGGCGGGGUAAAGGCCCACCAAGGCGACGAUCCGUAGCCGGUCUGAGAGGAUGAUCAGCCACACUGGAACUGAGACACGGUCCAGACUCCUACGGGAGGCAGCAGUGGGGAAUGUUGGACAAUGGGCGCGAGCAUGAGCCAGCCAUACCGCGUGGGUGAAGAAGCACUUCGGGUUGUAAAGCCCUUUUGUUGGGAAAGAAAAGCAGCAGGUUAAUACCCCGCUGUUCUGACGGUACCCAAAGAAUAAGCACCGGCUAACUUCGUG